GACGAACGCUGGCGGCGUGCUUAACACAUGCAAGUCGAACGGUGAAGCGCCUUCCUUUUUGGUGGGUGUGGAUGAGUGGCGAACGGGUGAGUAACACGUGAGCAACCCGCUCCCUCCUUCUGGAUAACCGCAUGAAAGUGUGGCUAAUACGGGAUAUUUUGGGUCUGUCGCAUGAUGGGUGUGGGAAAGACAUUGUUUCGGUGGGGGAUGGGCUCGCGGCCUAUCAGCUUGUUGGUGGGGUGAUGGCCUACCAAGGCGGUGACGAGUAGCCGGCCUGAGAGGGUCGGCCACCACGCAGGUGCGGAAAGGCGGAGCAGACUACUGCGGGAAGCAGUAGUGAAGAAUACGGCACGGUGGACGCAAGGCUGGAGCAGCGACGCGGCAUUGAUGAUGGAGUCCGGCGGGUUAUGAACCUCUUUCGCGAGAGAAGCAGUCCGGCCUCAUUUGUGGAUAGGUUGACGGUAGCUGGAUAAGAAGCGCCGGCUAACUACGUG
rnacentral:rRNA from 1 species